rnacentral:rRNA from 1 species
CUCGUAGGCGGCCAACUAAGUCAGACGUGAAAUCCCUCGGCUUAACCGGGGAACUGCGUCUGAUACUGGAUGGCUUGAGGUUGGGAGAGGGAUGCGGAAUUCCAGGUGUAGCGGUGAAAUGCGUAGAUAUCUGGAGGAACACCGGUGGCGAAGGCGGCAUCCUGGACCAAUUCUGACGCUGAGGAGCGAAAGCCAGGGGAGCAAACGGGAUUAGAUACCCCGGUAGUCCUGGCCCUAAACGAUGAAUGCUUGGUGUGGCGGGUAUCGAUCCCUGCCGUGCCGAAGCUAACGCAUUAAGCAUUCCGCCUGGGGAGUACGGUCGCAAGGCUGAAACUCAAAGGAAUUGA